GAUGUCGAUUUGGAGGUUGUGCCCUUGAGGCGUGGCUUCCGGAGCUAACGCGUUAAAUCGACCGCCUGGGGAGUACGGCCGCAAGGUUAAAACUCAAAUGAAUUGACGGGGGCCCGCACAAGCGGUGGAGCAUGUGGUUUAAUUCGAUGCAACGCGAAGAACCUUACCUACUCUUGACAUCCAGAGAACUUAGCAGAGAUGCUUUGGUGCCUUCGGGAACUCUGAGACAGGUGCUGCAUGGCUGUCGUCAGCUCGUGUUGUGAAAUGUUGGGUUAAGUCCCGCAACGAGCGCAACCCUUAUCCUUUGUUGCCAGCGAUUCGGUCGGGAACUCAAAGGAGACUGCCGGUGAUAAACCGGAGGAAGGUGGGGAUGACGUCAAGUCAUCAUGGCCCUUACGAGUAGGGCUACACACGUGCUACAAUGGCGUAUACAAAGAGAAGCGACCUCGCGAGAGCAAGCGGAACUCAUAAAGUACGUCGUAGUCCGGAUUGGAGUCUGCAACUCGACUCCAUGAAGUCGGAAUCGCUAGUAAUCGUAGAUCAGAAUGCUACGGUGAAUACGUUCCCGGGCCUUGUACACACCGCCCGUCACACCAUGGGAGUGGGUUGCAAAAGAAGUAGGUAGCUUAACCUUCGGGAGGGCGCUUACCACUUUGUGAUUCAUGACUGGGGUGAAGUCGUA
rnacentral:rRNA from 13 species